AAUCUUUGAACGCACAUUGCGCCUUCUGGUAUUCCGGGAGGCAUGCCUGUUCGAGCGUCAUGAAAAGCAUCCUCAAGCAAACUUUUGCUUGGUUGUGGAAGAAGAUGGCUCCCAUCUCUUCUGGAAACCCUCAGCAGAAGGCCUUGCAACCUCCAGUGUGAUAAAACCUAUUCACUUGAUGGUUACAAAGUUUUCUGGCUGUACAGAAAGCCCCCCCAGCAUUUUCUACAUGUUUGACCUCGGAUCAGGUAGGGAUACCCGCUGAACUUAAGCAUAUCAAUAAGCGGAGGAAAAGAAACCAACCGGGAUUGCCUUAGUAACUGCGAGUGAAGCGGCAAAAGCUCAAAUUUGAAAUCCAGUACCCUUGGGUGCUCGAGUUGUAAUUUGGAGAGGCAACUUCGGAGAGGGCGUUGGCCUAAGUUCCUUGGAACAGGACGUCACAGAGGGUGAGAAUCCCGUGCUUGGCCGACUGUCCCUCUUCAUGUGAAGUGUCUUCGACGAGUCGAGUUGUUUGGGAAUGCAGCUCAAAAUGGGUGGUAAACUCCAUCUAAGGCUAAAUAUUGGCGAGAGACCGAUAGCGCACAAGUAGAGUGAUCGAAAGAUGAAAAGCACUUUGAAAAGAGAGUUAAAAAGUACGUGAAAUUGUUGAAAGGGAAGCGCUUGAGACCAGACUCAGUGCUAGGUGAUCAGCGGUACUUUUGUGCCGUGCACUUGCCUUUUACUGGGCCAGCAUCAGUUA
rnacentral:rRNA from 1 species